rnacentral:rRNA from 1 species
UACGUAGGGACCGAGCGUUGUCCGGAAUCAUUGGGCGUAGAGAGCGUGUAGGCGGCCACUUAAGUCCUGUGUGAAAUCUUGCGGCUCAACCGCAAGCGGUCGUGGGAAACUGGGUGGCUAGAGUGCGGGAGAGGAGAGUGGAAUUCCUGGUGUAGCGGUGGAAUGCGCAGAUAUCAGGAAGAACACCCGUGGCGAAGGCGGCUCUCUGGAACGCAACUGACGCUGAGACGCGAAAGCGUGGGGAGCAAACAGG